rnacentral:rRNA from 1 species
GACGAACGCUGGCGGCGUGCUUAACACAUGCAAGUCGAACGGAAAGGCCCUGCUUGCAGGGUGCUCGAGUGGCGAACGGGUGAGUAACACGUGGGUGAUCUGCCCCUUACUUUGGGAUAAGCCUGGGAAACUGGGUCUAAUACUGGAUAGGACCAUGCUGUAGGUGGUGUGGUGGAAAGAUUAGUUUCGGUAAGGGAUGAGCUCGCGGCCUAUCAGCUUGUUGGUGGGGUAAUGGCCUACCAGGGCGUCGACGGGUAGCCGGCCUGAGAGGGUGGACGGCCACAUUGGGACUGAGAUACGGCCCAGACUCCUACGGGAGGCAGCAGUGGGGAAUAUUGCACAAUGGGCGCAAGCCUGAUGCAGCGACGCCGCGUGGGGGAUGACGGCCUUCGGGUUGUAAACUCCUUUCAGCCAUGACGAAGCCCUUGUGGUGACGGUAGUGGUAGAAGAAGCACCGGCUAACUACGUG